GACGAACGCUGGCGGCGUGCCUAACACAUGCAAGUCGAACGCUGAAGGCGGAGAUUGUUCUUCUGGAUGAGUUGCGAACGGGUGAGUAACGCGUAGGUAACCUGCCUGGCAGUGGGGGAUAACUAUUGGAAACGAUAGCUAAUACCGCAUAACAGUAGAUGUUGCAUGACAUUUGCUUAAAAGGUGCAACUGCACCACUACCAGAUGGACCUGCGUUGUAUUAGCUAGUUGGUGGGGGAACGGCCCACCAAGGCGACGGUACAUAGUCGACCUGAGAGGGGGGACAGCCACACUGGGACUGGGACACGGCCCAGACCCCUUCGGGGAGCAACAAGAGGGGAACUUUGGCCAUGGGCGGAAAGCGUGCCCCACAACGCCGGGUGAUGGGAGGAGGUCUUCGGGUCGUUAAACUCUGUUUUAAGGGAAGAACGAGUGUGAGGGUGAAAAGUUCACACUGUGACGGUAUCUUAACAAAAAGGACCGGCUAACUACGUG
rnacentral:rRNA from 1 species